rnacentral:lncRNA from 1 species
CAUAAUUACCUUAUUCAGAAGUUAUUCAUGCAUCCUAUUUAAUCCAUAUUUAUCCUUUUAUAAUGUUAGAAUUAUCCCAAAUCGAACUUGUCAACUUUAUGGCCAUUUUGGUUACUUUCAUUUUGUGUACACACGUACUAUUUUUAGGUGUAUUGAUUAACUUGAUCUUUUAAACGUUUAGAGAAAAGUAUAGUCAGUUUCAAAUUACCUCGCAGACAGAUCAGCUGUUUUUAGUAAGUGACCUAGAUUUUACUAUUCAUGUAUUUUCACUAUUAUAGCACACACUGCAAUUCUAUUUAGAUAUAUUGUAAUUGAUUCAUAAUUAUUAUUUAUGAUAUUAGCUUUUAAUAAAGCUGCUUUUAUUUAAUUCCAACAAAUCUUAUUCUUGAUUAUUCAAAGUUUGGACUUCAAAACAGUUUUAUUCCUUCGACUUUAAAAUUGAUAUUUAUAUAAUAUCUGCCAACCAUUUACAAUAACGGUUGGCGCUUCAAUUGGUGGCAGCGGUAAAAAGAACAUUAAAAAAAAAAAAAAAAAAAAGAAAAAGAGAGGAAAAAAGUAAUACAUAAAAAAAAAAACCAACAACAUACAAAUCAGCAUAUAUUGAAACUCAAACUGUGGUUUACAUAUGAUAUUAUUGAGCACCAAGAGUUAUUGAAAUUCAAGGUGUAUUUUUCCAUAAAUAAAUUAUUGAAC